rfam:Populus trichocarpa scaffold_14_contig_111, whole genome shotgun sequence.
UGAUCUAUUUAAGAUAGAUUCUCAUUUAGUUAUGGUAAACUCAUACUUAUCUACUUAGAAUCACCAACUACUAUGUGAACAAUAAUUUUUUGAGA